UGGUUAUUCUGGAGCAGUGUUCCCUCUAGUUUUUCCCACCCAUGCACAGAAUGAAUUUUGUUAUGUGCAUUCAUAUGGAGGUGAUGUGUGACACAU